AACGAACGCUGGCGGCAUGCCUAACACAUGCAAGUCGAACGAGACCUUCGGGUCUAGUGGCGCACGGGUGCGUAACGCGUGGGAACCUGCCCUUAGGUUCGGAAUAACUCCCCGAAAGGGGUGCUAAUACCGGAUAAUGUCUUCGGACCAAAGAUUUAUCGCCUUUGGAUGGGCCCGCGUUGGAUAGCUAGUUGGUAGGGUAAAAGCCUACCAAGGCGACGAUCCAUAGCUGGUCUGAGAGGAUGAUCAGCCACACUGGGACUGAGACACGGCCCAGACUCCUACGGGAGGUAGCAGUGGGGAAUAUUGGACAAUGGGCGAAAGCCUGAUCCAGCAAUGCCGCGUGAGUGAUGAAGGCCUUAGGGUUGUAAAGCUCUUUUACCCGGGAUGAUAAUGACAGUACCGGGAGAAUAAGCUCCGGCUAACUCCGUG
rnacentral:rRNA from 1 species